rnacentral:rRNA from 1 species
UGGGGAAUAUUGGACAAUGGGGGCAACCCUGAUCCAGCGAUGCCGCGUGAGUGAAGAAGGCCUUCGGGUUGUAAAGCUCUUUUGUUAGUGACGAUAAUGACGGUAACUAACGAAUAAGCCCCGGCUAACUUCGUGCCAGCAGCCGCGGUAAUACGAAGGGGGCUAGCGUUGUUCGGAAUAACUGGGCGUAAAGGGCGCGUAGGCGGUUUGGUGCGUUUGGUGUGAAAGUCCUGGGCUUAACCUAGGGAUUGCAUUGAAUACGGCCGAACUGGAGUGCGAGAGGGGAAAAUGGAAUUACGCGUGUAGAGGUGAAAUUCGUAGAGAUGCGUAAGAACACCGGUGGCGAAGGCGAUUUUCUGGCUCGCAACUGACGCUGAGGCGCGAAAGCGUGGGGAGCAAA